rnacentral:rRNA from 1 species
AGCAGCCGCGGUAAUUCCAGCUCCAAUAGCGUAUAUUAAAGUUGUUGCAGUUAAAAAGCUCGUAGUUGAAUUUCGGGAUUUAUCCGUCGGUCGGGCUUUUGGGUCUGUACUGGCGUGAUGAAUUCCUACCUUCUGAAUAACCAGCAUGCCAUUAAUUUGGUGCGCCGGGGAAGCAGGACUGUUACCUUGAAAAAUUAGAGUGCUUAAAGCAGGCUAUUGCCUGAAUACAUUAGCAUGGAAUAAUGAAAUAGGACGGCAUGGUUCUAUUUUGUUGGUUUCUAGGAUCACCGUAAUGAUUAAUAGGGAUAGUUGGGGGCAUUAGUAUUCAAUUGUCAGAGGUGAAAUUCUUGGAUUUAUUGAAGACUAACUUCUGCGAAAGCAUUUGCCAAGGAUGUUUUCAUUAAUCAAGAACGAAAGUUAGGGGAUCGAAGACGAUCAGAUACCGUCGUAGUC